GCAAUAUUUCAACAGUUAUUGAAAAGAGAUUGAAACAGUAGGGUCUAAAUUCUUUGAUUGCGAAACCAGUGAUGGCCUGCCAGUUCUUUGGCCAACUCUGUCCUUGUUUACAAUGCCCAGAUAGGUCCAAAGUAUGCAAGAUGAUCUCAGUCCCCAGUGGGAGACCAUUUAGCUGCUUAAGCUAAAAGUAAAUGAAAAUAAAAAUAAAAUAAAAAGAUGCCACUUUGUGAAACCUCUGCAUUAGCUUCAGACUUGGGGAGCUGAAGCUGCCAAGGUAAGUUCCAUCCAGGCUCCAUCCAGUAAGGCCAAUUGCCAAAUCCCUUUAGACAGCUGUAAUUUUCCAGGACCUGCAUUCAUUCUUCAAAGAGUACCUGAAAACUCAGUUGUAUCCCUUUCUUUCUAUCCCAAGGAUACAGACAAUGAUCCUGAUAGAACUCUGAGACAAAAACAGGUGCUGAAAAUACUUGUGCUUCCUUAGCUAUCUUUGUUCUAGAGACUUAUGAGAAAGUAAGGAUUAACGAAUAAAAUAAACCAGCUUUAAGUUUUUUUCUGUCCAUUAGAACCUUUUUUUUUUUUCUUUUUUUUUUUUUUUUUCUAGGCUACUGUUAGGCAUCAUACAGGUUUCCAACCCCUGUGCAGAAUCUCUCUGCACAGAGAAUUUGCAGAAUAGUAUAGAAAGUAUUUGCAGAAUACUCUUGAAAAUGAAAUGAAUUACUUGGCAAAAAGAGAUGUUUUUCACAGUGGAAAUAAUGAAGUUAUUUUGAUUCAUUUUUUUGUCAUCUAAUUUUCUUUGUUUCUGUAAUAGUUUAAAAAGCCAAAGGAAAAAAUUGUCACUAUUUAAGUGUGAGACGGACUCAUAAUUUAUAACUUUUUGACAGCAAUCACAGGGAAUCACAGGAAGACCAAAGAUUGGAAGUGCUGAUACCUGGAAAGAUACAUAUAAAUAACAGCACAUGCCAAAAGGAGGUACAAUGCAGAUUUCCAGCUGGAUGAACUUGAGAAGAAAACCCUCUGAAGCUAUCACAACCCUGUCAGAUGUUUUGCUACUUUGCUCUGUGCAGCUUAGAGCAACUUCCAUUUUAGGCUGCUUCUUACUGAAUAGACAGCUUCAGAUGUUCUCAGGAUGAAAACUUAAGGCUGUACCUAAUUAAUCAUGUUAGUUUUGUCCCAAAUGUUUAACUGCCAACAACAACAACAAACAAGACAGUUAUGAAAUCUGAGUGAAGGUAGAUUGAAUAUUAUCAUUACUCUGCAGCAUUGAUGGCAAUUCUAAAACUAGAUUUGUAUUAAGGCUUUAUUUUAACUUAUUUAGAAUGUCAAAUUUUAUAAGAGCAAAAAGAGAAUAUACAACAGCAUAUUUUUAAGCAACAGUGGUUAAAACCUCUCUGCCUGCUUCAAAAUCCCCAAUCAAUGUUUUCCUUUAAAGUUAUGUUCCAUGAUUCAGGCUGUUGAGAAUUUAAGUUCUUUGCUUCUUUGCCUGGCUUAGCCAGCUCAGUCAGGUCUUUGUCAGCAACUGGAAAGCAUUGCAAGUGCAUAGCUACAUGUUCAUUAAGAACCAAACUGUGGUACAUUUAUUCAUGAUGAGCAGGAACUUAUUCUCUCCUUAUUAGUUUUAACAGGAGACCGUUAAGAGAAAAUGCUGCAAAAGUCCAGCAUUUAGUUGAGAAAUUGAUAUAUUUUCCAAGUAUCAAACAGGAUUGAAGUCUGCAAAAUGCAACUCCAAAACAAAAGUUUCAGGUUUCAUUGCAGCAGCCAAGAAGGUAACAUUUCCUGAUCUCUUGAGAGGAAUUCUCUGCAUCAUAUGCAGCUUUAACUUUUACCUAACAAUACACUAGAAACUGUACAAUAUUCCAAUUUCAAUGAAAAUAACAAACAAACAAAUGAACAAAAAACUGGUCAUGACAAGGGGAUAUCUGAGGACUAGCUCUCUUCCCAGCAGAGAAGUCUAGAAGUCUAAUUCUAUUUUAUUCCAGUAAUAACUUCCUAACAAUAUUCUCUAUAUUUCUCAUGUGUAUAAAAAAGAAGAUAAAGAGGUCUGUUUUACAGAAAAAUCAUUUGACCCAGGCUCCUACAUGACACAGACUCCCUGAGAACCUCCCUGGAAGUGAAACACAGGGAGGAAACAGGUGUGGGAAUGAGCCACGCACACAUUUCCCUCAACAGUAGCCACAGCAGCUGAACCCCACUCCUGCAGAAGCAACGUCUACAACAUAGCAUCAGAUAGAGUUACACUAGAAUAAGAACAGCAUAAGGUAUCUUCUAAAAAAUGAGAGUAGAUGAAGGUGAAGAAAUGUUUACGUAGAAAAAAGACAGCUAGGGAGAGAACAAAAAUAAAUGCCCACAGAACCAAGGAAUAGCA
rnacentral:lncRNA from 1 species